CUUGAUCUUAGUUGCCAUCAUUAAGUUGGGCCCUCUAAGGUGACUGCCGGUCACAAACCGGAGGAAGGUGGGGAUGACGUCAAAUCAUCAUCCCCCUUAUGACCUGGGCUACACACGUGCUACAAUGGACGGUACAAAGAGCUGCAAGACCGCGAGGUGGAGCUAAUCUCAUAAAACCGUUCUCAGUUCGGAUUGUAGGCUGCAACUCGCCUACAUGAAGCUGGAAUCGCUAGUAAUCGCGGAUCAGCAUGCCGCGGUGAAUACGUUCCCGGGCCUUGUACACACCGCCCGUCACACCACGAGAGUUUGUAACUCCUCGAAGUCGGUGGAGUAACCUUUUUCAACCCAGCCCCCCACUUUUUGGC
rnacentral:rRNA from 1 species